AUGGCCACAUCGCGUUUUAACACCAGUUCUCGUACGAUCAUCGAAGUUAAGCAACGUCGAGCCAGGUCAGUACCUAGAUGGAUGACCGCUUGGGAAUACUAGGUACUGUAAG